UCCUCCUCCAUUUUUCAGACCUCUCUGAUAAACCCUAAAACAAACGAGAAAAAGCUCGAAAAUUUGAAUCACCGAACCUCAAAACAACUUCGACGCAUUUCUCCAACCAUGCUCCGAAUCACAAAGCUCAAACCUUUCCCUUCCUCUCUCACAACCCACAACCUCAUUCAGCGAUUCCCCGUUAGCGGAACCGCAAAGGGAAAAGCGAAGAUCAAAGCUGGACAAGCCUUAAAGCGUUCGAAAAUCACAACCAAGAAAAUCGGAUCCGAAUCAAAACCCGGACCCGGUUCCCGAGAGCAACAGGAGCGUGAGAAGCUCUACGAUCAGUGCCUACAAGCUCCAACCCCCGUUCGGUACCUGAAGCCCAAGGAACGCGCGCGAGAAAUUGAGCGCGAGAAAAUGGGGCUGCUGAGCAAAGAGAGGCAGCGAGAAAUUCAGCUGAUGAAGAGGAAGGACGACAAGUACAAGGUUUCGGAGAAACCCACGAUAAUUGGGACGCCGGGGUUGGAUUAUAUCACUUUGGGUUUGGUUGAUGAAGAGAAGAUUCCGAAGUAUGAGUUGACUGUGGAAGAUGGUAGGAAGUUGGCGAAAGAGUAUAGCAGGGUCUUGAUGAGGAAGCACAGGGAGAGACAGGCUAAAGAAACGACACUCUUGAGGUUGAAGAAGGAGGCGAUUGAGGCUUUGCCUGAGGGUUUGAGGGAAGCUGCUUUGGUGCCCGACUUAACACCUUUUCCUGUGAACCGGUUUAUGGCAACCUUGACUCCUCCAAUUGAGGGCUACAUGGAGAAGGUCAGGGAAGCUGCCGAGAAGAUCAGCGGCACUGAGAAGAUUAGAUAAUCACAGACAACGGUUGUUUCGAUGUAUACAACCUAUCGAUUGUAUGCUGCAUUAAACAAUUCUGUGACGAGUGUAAACCGGCUAUUUGCCAUGGUCAAAUGUAUUGUUAUUUGUAGGUUCAUUUUCAAGUGGCAGAAGCACAUUUCUUUUAACUUGGGCAUCUAGCUAUGGACCUCGGACUUGAUUUACAUUGUUGCAAUCUGAUAUUGUGGAGCUUAGUGAGGGAUUAAGAUCUUGCUUCAGAAUCUUAGUUGAGAGAGGAAUAAUUGUUGACAAAUAGCUAGUAAUGAUGUGCAUGACUAAUCAUCAUAUAUCUGGUUUAAUGCUGUAAUUUUAUGGUUGGGUGAUUAUUUGUAUAAUUGUCAAGUGCUUAAUCAACUUUAGUACUUGCAUUCUAGGCCUCAACAUACACCAAAUUUUUGUCCGUCUGGUACAUAUGUCUUAGCAUCAUAAAUUACACUGAUUUUUGAAGGCCACAUUUCUUUAAUUCUAUUAUUUCAGUUUGUUCUAAAUACCAAUUAUUCUCAAUA